UGUUACUCCGUGGCAGUUGCGAAAGGAAAGAGGACGAGUAAUUGCAUUGUGAAAAAUCACACCACUAUCAACUUAUAAAUACCAGAGAAAUGUCACGUCUACACAAAAGGCCGAAGAGCGGACAAUAAACAACUAUAUAUAAAGUAAUGAAUGUCUGUUUUCUGAUUAAUCUCCGCACAUCGACUCAACAGAAUAUUGGGGUAGACAUAGGUUUAACGGACAGACAGCAGCUGUUUUUGUAGUAUGUAAUAUGGGGCGAUCCUUAUGUCGCUUACUGAGCACAAUGCCAGACUCCCGACUAAUAUUGAACAGAAAACCCAACAUCACUUUGCCCAACCUGGGCUUCAAACCCCACCACCUCAAAGCGGUGUAAUACCGUGUAAUAUACACAGAGACGGUCUUGAGGUAUUAGUCUCACGAUCCAAACCCUUAUUAAAGCAGACGAAGUAAACAAUA